CUACGGGACGCUCCAGUGGGGAAUCUUGGACAAUGGGCGCAAGCCUGAUCCAGCCAUGCCGCGUGAGUGAAGAAGGUCUUCGGAUUGUAAAGCUCUUUUGCCAGGGACGAUAAUGACGGUACCUGGAGAAUAAGCCCCGGCAAACUUCGUGCCAGCAGCCGCGGUAAUACGAAGGGGGCUAGCGUUGUUCGGAAUUACUGGGCGUAAAGCGCACGUAGGCGGGUCGUUAAGUCAGGGGUGAAAUCCCGGAGCUCAACUCCGGAACUGCCUUUGAUACUGGCGAUCUAGAGAUCGGAAGAGGUGAGUGGAAUUCCCAGUGUAGAGGUGAAAUUCGUAGAUAUUGGGAAGAACACCAGUGGCGAAGGCGGCUCACUGGUCCGAUACUGACGCUGAGGUGCGAAAGCGUGGGGAGCAAACAGGAUUAGAUACCCUAGUAGUC
rnacentral:rRNA from 1 species